GCACCUUUGGCUCAGUUGGUAGAGCAACUGACUCUUAAUCAGUGGGUCGGGGGUUCGAGUCCCCCAAGGUGUACCA
rnacentral:tRNA from 1 species